rnacentral:lncRNA from 1 species
CACAAACACAACACAUGACGGACUAUCCCGUUACUAUCAAAUAAUAUGGGACUUCACCCCCAUACACAAACACAACACAUGACGGACUAUCCCGUUACUAUCAAAUAACAUGGGACUUCACCCCCAUACACAAACACAACACAUGACGGACUAUCCCGUUACUAUCAAAUUAUAUGGGACUUCAUCCCCAUACACAAACACAACACAUGACGGACUACAUCCCGUUACUAUCAAAUUAUAUGGGACUUCAUCCCCAUACACAAACACAACACAUGACGGACUAUCCCGUUACUAUCAAAUAAUAUGGGACUUCACCCCAUACACAAACACAACACAUGAUGGAUUAUCCCGUUACUAUCAAAUAAUAGGGGACUUCACCCCCAUACACAAACACAACACAUGACGGACUAUCCUGUUACUAUCAAGUGACUUCACCCCCAUACACAAACACAACACAUGGCGGACUAUCCUGUUACUAUCAAAUUAUAUGGGACUUCAGCCCCAUACACAAACACAACACAUGACAGACUACAUCCCGUUACUAUCAGAUAAUAUGGGACUUCAACCCCCAUACACAAACACAACAGAUGACGGACUACAUCCCGUUGCCAUGGGGGGCAGUGUUAUUACCCCGCUUCCCGGAACAUUAUCAUUUUCACCCGCAUUCUCCACAUCACAAUAUAUUCUUAUACACAUGGCAUAUCAUUUACUUUUACAUUACGUACAUUUUAUCACAUUAUGUACUAUAAAAGAAAGGAGACAUAUGAAAGAGCGC